rnacentral:rRNA from 1 species
UGGGGAAUUUUGGACAAUGGGGGAAACCCUGAUCCAGCCAUGCCGCGUGCGGGAAGAAGGCCUUCGGGUUGUAAACCGCUUUUGUCAGGGAAGAAACGGCCUGCGCCAAUACCGCAGGCUAAUGACGGUACCUGAAGAAUAAGCACCGGCUAACUACGUGCCAGCAGCCGCGGUAAUACGUAGGGUGCAAGCGUUAAUCGGAAUUACUGGGCGUAAAGCGUGCGCAGGCGGCUUUGCAAGACAGAUGUGAAAUCCCCGGGCUUAACCUGGGAACUGCAUUUGUGACUGCAUCGCUCGAGUACGGCAGAGGGGGAUGGAAUUCCGCGUGUAGCAGUGAAAUGCGUAGAUAUGCGGAGGAACACCGAUGGCGAAGGCAGUCCCCUGGGCCUGUACUGACGCUCAUGCACGAAAGCGUGGGGAGCAAACAGG